GUUCGGUAGAAGGAAAUACAUUACAUUAAACUGGUAACUAGUAAGUCUUGGUUUAUCUUCAGUAACCGGGUCGUUAUUUCUGAUUGCUGCUUCUUGCCUGGGGUGCCGUGUGGAGCUCCUCGUUUCCAACACUAGCUUGCUUAAGGAAGAGUCCCCAGCAGGAGGCUCUCUUGCCCUCGCCUCUGGCCCCCACUCCCCGGGCUGACCAGGGAGCUGUCCGUCACAGGUUGCUGGGCUUCAUUCAGUCAUACGGACAUAACGGACCCAAACGCAUUGGGCCAACACGCUGGAAAG